rnacentral:rRNA from 1 species
GGGGAAUAUUGCACAAUGGGGGAAACCCUGAUGCAGCGACGCCGCGUGGAGGAAGAAGGUCUUCGGAUUGUAAACUCCUGUUGUUGAGGAAGAUAAUGACGGUACUCAACAAGGAAGUGACGGCUAACUACGUGCCAGCAGCCGCGGUAAAACGUAGGUCACAAGCGUUGUCCGGAAUUACUGGGUGUAAAGGGAGCGCAGGCGGGCGAUCAAGUUGGAAGUGAAAUCUAUGGGCUCAACCCAUAAACUGCUUUCAAAACUGUUUUUCUUGAGUAGUGCAGAGGUAGGCGGAAUUCCCGGUGUAGCGGUGGAAUGCGUAGAUAUCGGGAGGAACACCAGUGGCGAAGGCGGCCUACUGGGCACCAACUGACGCUGAGGCUCGAAAGUGUGGGUAGCAAACAGGAUUAGAUACCCUGGUAGUCCACACCGUAAACGAUGAUUACUAGGUGUUGGAGGAUUGACCCCUUCAGUGCCGCAGUUAACACAAUAAGUAAUCCACCUGGGGAGUACGACCGCAAGGUUGAAACUCAAAGGAAUUGACGGGGGCCCGCACAAGCAGUGGAGUAUGUGGUUUAAUUCGACGCAACGCGAAGAACCUUACCAAGUCUUGACAUCCUGCGACGAUGCUGGAAACAGUAUUUUCCUUCGGGACGCAGAGACAGGUGGUGCAUGGUUGUCGUCAGCUCGUGUCGUGAGAUGUUGGGUUAAGUCCCGCAACGAGCGCAACCCUUACUGUCAGUUACUACGCAAGAGGACUCUGGCAGGACUGCCGUUGACAAAACGGAGGAAGGUGGGGAUGACGUCAAAUCAUCAUGCCCUUUAUGACUUGGGCUACACACGUACUACAAGGGCGUUAAACAAAGAGAAGCAAGACCGCGAGGGGGAGCAAAACUCAGAAACAACGUCCCAGUUCGGACUGCAGGCUGCAACUCGCCGGCAGGAAGUCGGAAUUGCUAGUAAUCGUGGAUCAGCAUGCCACGGUGAAUACGUUCCCG